rnacentral:tRNA from 1 species
UCCAGGGUAGCCUAGUGGACAUGGCAUCUGUCCGGUAAGCGGAACGCUGUGGGUUCGAUUCCCAUCCUUGGAC